CUUGUUGGUGGGGUAACGGCCUACCAAGGCGACGACGGGUAGCCGGCCUGAGAGGGCGACCGGCCACACUGGGACUGAGACACGGCCCAGACUCCUACGGGAGGCAGCAGUGGGGAAUAUUGCGCAAUGGGCGAAAGCCUGACGCAGCGACGCCGCGUGAGGGAUGAAGGCCUUCGGGUUGUAAACCUCUUUCAGCAGGGACGAAGCGAAAGUGACGGUACCUGCAGAAGAAGCACCGGCCAACUACGUGCCAGCAGCCGCGGUAAUACGUAGGGUGCAAGCGUUGUCCGGAAUUAUUGGGCGUAAAGAGCUCGUAGGCGGCCUGUCGCGUCGGCUGUGAAAACUCAGGGCUCAACCCUGAGCCUGCAGUCGAUACGGGCAGGCUAGAGUCCGGCAGGGGAGACUGGAAUUCCUGGUGUGGCGGUGAAAUGCGCAGAUAUCAGGAGGAACACCGGUGGCGAAGGCGGGUCUCUGGGCCGGAACUGACGCUGAGGAGCGAAAGCGUGGGGAGCGAACAGGAUUAGAUACCCUGGUAGUCCACGCCGUAAACGUUGGGCGCUAGGUGUGGGGAACCUUCCACGUUCUCCGUGCCGCAGCUAACGCAUUAAGCGCCCCGCCUGGGGAGUACGG
rnacentral:rRNA from 1 species